GACGAACGCUGGCGGCGUGCCUAAUACAUGCAAGUAGAACGCAGUGGCGAAAGGGUGAGUAACGCGUAGGUAAAUGCCUCAUAGCGGGGGAUAACUAUCGGAAACGAUAGCUAAUACCGCAUACUGUGAGCUGGACCUGCGUUGUAUGAGCUAGUUGGUGGGGCAAAGGCUCACCAAGGCGACGAUACAUAGCCGGCCUGAGAGGGUGAACGGCACAAAUGGGACUGAGACACGGGCCAGACUCCUACGGGAGGCAGCAGUUGGGAAUCGUCGGAAAUUGACGGAAGUCUGACCGAGCACCGCCGCGUGAGUGAAGAAGGUUUUCGGGUCGUAAAGCUAUUUUGUUAGAGAAGCGUUAACUGACGAGAAAGGGACGGCUAACUACGUGCCAGCAGCCGCGGUAAUAC
rnacentral:rRNA from 1 species